AAUAAGCUAUUUAAGAGCGUAUGGGGGAUGCCUAGGCUCUCAGAGGCGAAGAAGGACGUGAUAAGCUGCGAUAAGCUGCGGGGAUUGGCACACACAAUUUGAUCCGCAGAUUUCCGAAUGGGGAAACCCACUAU
rnacentral:rRNA from 1 species